rnacentral:tRNA from 1 species
UUUACCUUGGUGUAAAAGGGCACAUAAAUUUUUGAUAUUUAAGGUAAAUUAGGUAAUC